CAGUGGCGAACGGGUGAGUAACACGUGGGCAACCUGCCCCUGACUCUGGGAUAAGCGCUGGAAACGGCGUCUAAUACUGGAUACGAGUAGCGACCGCAUGGUCAGUUACUGGAAAGAUUUAUUGGUUGGGGAUGGGCUCGCGGCCUAUCAGCUUGUUGGUGAGGUAAUGGCUCACCAAGGCGUCGACGGGUAGCCGGCCUGAGAGGGUGACCGGCCACACUGGGACUGAGACACGGCCCAGACUCCUACGGGAGGCAGCAGUGGGGAAUAUUGCACAAUGGGCGCAAGCCUGAUGCAGCAACGCCGCGUGAGGGAUGACGGCCUUCGGGUUGUAAACCUCUUUUAGCAGGGAAGAAGCGAAAGUGACGGUACCUGCAGAAAAAGCGCCGGCUAACUACGUGCCAGCAGCCGCGGUAAUACGUAGGGCGCAAGCGUUAUCCGGAAUUAUUGGGCGUAAAGAGCUCGUAGGCGGUUUGUCGCGUCUGCUGUGAAAUCCGGAGGCUCAACCUCCGGCCUGCAGUGGGUACGGGCAGACUAGAGUGCGGUAGGGGAGAUUGGAAUUCCUGGUGUAGCGGUGGAAUGCGCAGAUAUCAGGAGGAACACCGAUGGCGAAGGCAGAUCUCUGGGCCGUAACUGACGCUGAGGAGCGAAAGGGUGGGAGCAAACAGGCUUAGAUACCCUGGUAGUCCACCCCGUAAACGUUGGGAACUAGUUGUGGGGUCCAUUCCACGGAUUCCGUGACGCAGCUAACGCAUUAAGUUCCCCGCCUGGGGAGUACGGCCGCAAGGCUAAAACUCAAAGGAAUUGACGGGACCCGCACAAGCGGCGGAGCAUGCGGAUUAAUUCGAUGCAACGCGAGGACCUUACCAAGGCUUGACAUAUACGA
rnacentral:rRNA from 1 species